rnacentral:rRNA from 1 species
AUUGAACGCUGGCGGCAGGCCUAACACAUGCAAGUCGAGCGAGUGGCGGACGGGUGAGUAAUGUCUGGGAAACUGCCCGAUGGAGGGGGAUAACUACUGGAAACGGUAGCUAAUACCGCAUACCAUCGGAUGUGCCCAUAUGGGAUUAGCUAGUAGGUGGGGUAAUGGCGCACCUAGGCGACGCUCCCUAGCUGGUCUGAGAGGAUGACCAGCCACACUGGGACUGAGACACGGACCAGCCUCCUACGGGAGGCAGCAGUGGGGAAUAUUGCACAAGGGGCGCAAGCCUGAUGCAGCCAUGCCGCGUGUAUGAAGAAGGCCUUAGGGUUGUAAAGUACUUUCAGCGGGGAGGCGUUACCCGAAGAAGAAGCACCGGCUAACUCCGUGCCAGCAGCCGCGGUAAUAC